CGGGCGCCACGCGUGCGGGCCUACAGCCCAAUUAGAGCGACAGUCAUGCGGUUAUAAAGAAAAAAAGGCCGGUCAUACCAAUGAAGAUAAGAAGACCGCAUAGUUUUCUUCGAUACUCGCCAUUUUCCACACCGUUGCUCCACUUUUCGGCAUUGCUUGCCCCCGGCCGCUCGAUGCCGCGCCACCAUGCCUUGCUCUCUAGCGCCCCUAGACGGACGCCGUGUCCAUGCCCAGCUCGCAGCUGCUUCGCUGUGCUCCCUUCCUUCCUCCCUCCCCCAGCAACCUUCAUGCGGCCCGGCUUCCGCUCUCCACCGUAGAUGAGGACGACGACGGCGACUCCAACGAGGUAGGUCGGUCCGUCUGUAGAUCUGAGCCAUCAUCCACCUCCUUCUCUGAAUCUAAGUCUUUCUCCUCUUCCUCUUCCUCUUCUCUAGAUCUGGACGAGGCGGUGGCGGACCAGGGGAUGGAGCAGUCUGCACCUCGAACCUAUCCCCUUUCACGUUUUUUUUUUCUGUUUUUUCAUGUUGUAAUGUUUUUUCUAGGGAUGUUGCAAUGGUUUUUCUAGGAUGUUGCAACAAUGAUUAGAAUGUUGUAGUAGGGUGAUUCAUAUGUUGCAGCAAGAGUGUUCUAAUUUGGGAUUGUUGCAAUAGGGAAUUUUAAUUAUUGAAAAUAACUUUUUAAAAAUGUUGAAGAGCAUUGAAUCGUGAUUAUUGAGUUUGUUCCAUUUUUCAUGUUUCAUGGUUGAUUUUUGUGAUGUUGCAGUACUACUGCUUGAGUUGUUGUAGUACAUAUUUUUUUGAAUGUUGCACUACACAAUUUUUUGAUGUUGCAGUAUAUAAUUUUAUAUGGUGCAAUAUUUAUAUUCUGAUGUUGCACUACAUUUACAUAUUUUUUGCGAUAUUUGCAGUUUUUGAAGCGUUUCCUACUCCUGGGACAGGGGAGAAGUGAGGAACGAGCGAGGUGCGGUGGGGGGAUGAGAUGCGUCGGGGGAACAAGGACAGGGUCGCGGUGAGAGAGCAGAGGAUAGAGCGAUGGGGGAAUGAGUUGUGUUAGAGAAUAGGGACAGGGUCGUGGUGAGAGAGCCGAGGAUAGGGCACGCCAUGAAAUUGAUCCUAUUUUGUUCUAUUCUGAUAUGUGGAGGCGGAGUUCUAUUGAAAAACCAUAUACAGGGACAGGCGGGUGGAUGGAGCGGCGUCCAAACGUAUUUCAGGCGCAGGACGUCCGGGCGAUAGGAUAACCGUUUUGACAAUUAUAUGCACAAUAGUGACAUUUUACCAGAACUAGUAGAAAUUCAUGUAACCAACUGGAUUGGAAAUGGGCAGGCCUCUUUACCUUAGAAUAGCGACUCUAGCAUUUUCUCUUACAUAGCAUGUUACCGUGAAAAAUUUGAUCACUCCAUGUGACUCACUAAUGUCUUUCUCCUUCGUCAUG
rnacentral:lncRNA from 1 species